rnacentral:rRNA from 1 species
UACGAAGGGGGCUAGCGUUGCUCGGAAUCACUGGGCGUAAAGCGCACGUAGGCGGCUUUCUAAGUCAGGGGUGCAAUCCUGGAGCUCAACUCCCGAGCUGCCUUUGAUACUGGGAAGCUCGAGUCCGGAAGAGGUGAGUGGAACUCCGAGUGUAGAGGUGAAAGGCGUAGAUAUGCGGAAGAACACCAGUGGCGAAGGCGGCGCACUGGUCCGGUACUGACGCUGAGGUGCGAAAGCGUGGGGAGCAAACAGG